rnacentral:piRNA from 1 species
UGUUAACUUCUCCUUGAUGGCUCCU